UGGGGGAUAUUGCACAAUGGGGGGAACCCUGAUGCAGCGACGCCGCGUGGGUGAAGAAGUAUUUCGGUAUGUAAAGCCCUAUCAGCAGGGAAGAUGAUGACGGUACCUGACUAAGAAGCCCCGGCUAACUACGUGCCAGCAGCCGCGGUAAUACGUAGGGGGCAAGCGUUAUCCGGAUUUACUGGGUGUAAAGGGAGCGCAGGCGGUGCGGCAAGUCAGAUGUGAAAACCCCGGGCUCAACCCGGGGACUGCAUUUGAAACUGCCGGGCUAGAGUGUGGGAGAGGCAGGCGGAAUUCCUAGUGUAGCGGUGAAAUGCGUAGAUAUUAGGAGGAACACCAGUGGCGAAGGCGGCCUGCUGGACCAAGACUGACGCUGAGGCUCGAAAGCGUGGGGAGCAAACAGG
rnacentral:rRNA from 1 species